rfam:Cryptococcus gattii R265 mitochondrial scaffold supercont2.28, whole genome shotgun sequence.
GUUGCUAUAGCUCAAUGGUCAGAGCGCGAUACUGUUAAUAUUGAGAAGGAGGUUCAAUUCCUCCUAGCGACU